rnacentral:rRNA from 1 species
ACGGAGGAUGCAAGCGUUAUCCGGAAUUAUUGGGCGUAAAGCGUCCGCAGGUGGCCUAUCAAGUCUGCUGUCAAAGACCGGGGCUUAACCCCAGAAAGGCAGUGGAAACUGAGAGGCUAGAGUAUGGUAGGGGCAGAGGGAAUUCCCAGUGUAGCGGUGAAAUGCGUAGAGAUUGGGAAGAACACCGGUGGCGAGAGCGCUCUGCUGGGCCAUUACUGACACUCAGGGACGAAAGCUAGGGGAGCGAAUGGGA